UACGUGGGGUGCAAGCGUUGUCCGGAUUUAUUGGGCGUAAAGAGCUCGUAGGCGGUCUGUCGCGUCGGAUGUGAAAACCCAGGGCUCAACCCUGGGCCUGCAUUCGAUACGGGCAGACUAGAGUAUGGCAGGGGAGACUGGAAUUCCUGGUGUAGCGGUGAAAUGCGCAGAUAUCAGGAGGAACACCGGUGGCGAAGGCGGGUCUCUGGGCCAAAACUGACGCUGAGGAGCGAAAGCGUGGGGAGCGAGCAGG
rnacentral:rRNA from 1 species